rnacentral:rRNA from 1 species
UACGUAGGGACCAAGCGUUGUCCGGAAUCAUUGGGCGUAAAGAGCGUGUAGGCGGCUUGUUAAGUCUUGCGUGAAAUCUCGGGGCUCAACCCCGAGUGCGUGAGAACAUGUGAGCGUAGAGUGCGGGAGAGGAGAGUGGAAUUCCUGGUGUAGCAGUGAAAUGCGCAGAUAUCAGGAAGAACACCCGUGGCGAAGGCGGCUCUCUGGAACGCAACUGACGCUGAGACGCGAAAAGCGUGGGGGAGCAAACAGG